AUACGUAGGUGACAAGCGUUAUCCGGAUUUACUGGGCGUAAAGAGCUCGUAGGUGGUUUGUCGCGUCGUCUGUGAAAUUCCGGGGCUUAACUCCGGGCGUGCAGGCGAUACGGGCAUAACUUGAGUACUGUAGGGGAGACUGGACUUCCUGGUGUAGCGGUGAAAUGCGCAGAUAUCAGGAGGAACACCGGUGGCGAAGGCGGGUCUCUGGGCAGUAACUGACGCUGAGGAGCGAAAGCAUGGGUAGCGAACAGGAUUAGAUACCCUGGUAGUCCAUGCCGUAAACGGUGGGCGCUAGGUGUAGGGGUCUUCCACGACUUCUGUGCCGUAGCUAACGCAUUAAGCGCCCCGCCUGGGGAGUACGGCCGCAAGGCUAAAACUCAAAGGAAUUGACGGGG
rnacentral:rRNA from 1 species